AACGAACGCUGGCGGCAUGCCUAACACAUGCAAGUCGAACGAAGGCUUCGGCCUUAGUGGCGCACGGGUGCGUAACGCGUGGGAAUCUGCCCUUAGGUUCGGAAUAACAGCUGGAAACGGCUGCUAAUACCGGAUGAUAUCGCGAGAUCAAAGAUUUAUCGCCUGAGGAUGAGCCCGCGUUGGAUUAGGUAGUUGGUGGGGUAAAGGCCUACCAAGCCGACGAUCCAUAGCUGGUCUGAGAGGAUGAUCAGCCACACUGGGACUGAGACACGGCCCAGACUCCUACGGGAGGCAGCAGUGGGGAAUAUUGGACAAUGGGCGAAAGCCUGAUCCAGCAAUGCCGCGUGAGUGAUGAAGGCCCUAGGGUUGUAAAGCUCUUUUACCCGGGAAGAUAAUGACUGUACCGGGAGAAUAAGCCCCGGCUAACUCCGUGCCAGCAGCCGCGGUAAUACGGAGGGGGCUAGCGUUGUUCGGAAUUACUGGGCGUAAAGCGCACGUAGGCGGCUUUGUAAGUCAGAGGUGAAAGCCUGGAGCUCAACUCCAGAACUGCCUUUGAGACUGCAUCGCUUGAAUCCAGGAGAGGUCAGUGGAAUUCCGAGUGUAGAGGUGAAAUUCGUAGAUAUUCGGAAGAACACCAGUGGCGAAGGCGGCUGACUGGACUGGUAUUGACGCUGAGGUGCCGAAAGCGUGGGGAGCAAACAGGAUUAGAUACCCCUGGUAGUCCACGCCGUAAACGAUGAUAACUAGCUGUCCGGGCACUUGGUGCUUGGGUGGC
rnacentral:rRNA from 1 species